rnacentral:lncRNA from 1 species
CUUCCGGACCGGGUCCCUGCGCGGCCCGACCCGGUGCGAGUAUUCCCCACCCGCCGUCCUCCUCCGCAGGCGGCGCCGCCCGUUCUUUGGAGGGCACGGACGCUUCCUCGCAGGCGAUUUUGACAGCAAUCAUCCUACCAAGCUAUUAUGAAGUGUGAUGUCAGUGCGUUCUGCAGGACGGAUAAUGUAUAAGCCAGAUCUUGACACGCUAUCUUACAAGGAAGCAGCUGAGACCAUCAGUCAGCUGUCUCCAAUCCUGAGGUCAUCACUCAUCAAGAGGGGAUAAUCCCAAGGACAGCAGGAUCUGCUUCGUCACUUGGAUUUAGGAGUGAGAAGCCCAUCAGGCAACUAAACAGUAACAAUGACCCACCAUUAAACACACGGAGAGAAGAGCAUGAUGAGGAGAUUGUACAAGAAGAAUCCUGGAGCUCUUGCUGACAACGCCUAUGGAGACGCUGACCAUUGUGAGCUCUCCCCAUUGAACUGCAGCAAAAAAAUCUCCCCCUCCCCCAGAGAUGCUCGGAUGGGGGUGCAAUAUCAGUUCAGACAAUGGUCUAUGUGUAGACUUAGAGUUGGAAGAAUUUGGACCGUGGUGUAAACAGACCUGGGUCUGAGCUGCCCUUAUUCUCCUCUUUCUGUGUAGUAUGCUUUGGCAACAUUCUAAAACUCUCAGGCUCAGUUUUCUUGUCUGCAAAAUGGAUCUAAUACCUACACAGAGGGCUUUUAAGAGAACCAAAUUUAACAGUGUUUGAAAAGCACAAGCUAGGGACUUCUCUUUAUGGAAGAAGAGCAAGAUGUGAGGCCAAAAAGGAACCGGCACACACACAAAAGCUUUUCUCAAAAUUAUUUUUUGUCGUAAGCACUCUCCCUCAGAAUGUGUGCUUAUUUCUUUAGUUUAGAUACCAGGGGGGAAAGAGACAGAGAUGGGGAAAGGCAGAAAGUCAGAUUCUGGCUCUUACACAAGAAAAUUCACUCUACAUAAUUUUCAGACAAUGUUGCUGUCCUUCCUCAAACACUGGGACCACAGGCAUUAUGCCAAAGAAGUCAGCAGCCUGGAAGAUAUUUUAAACUGAUUCUGGGACUGAACAACAGGCCAUUUGCACCAUAUGCCACUGACACGUUAAUCUAGGCAAGGCUGCUAGGCACCUGGGGACAUCCAUGCUAAAAUGCCAUUUAGGCAGGGCACACCACGUCCAGCGGCAGAAGUUCACCAGCACAACCCGUGAGGGCAGCCAAGAAGAUAGAAGUGGUAAGGAGGAGUGAGAAGGACUGCGGUGUCUAAGCUUUGAAAGAUUUUCUGAGUUGCAGAUACUUUAUUAUGCUUCUACGAGAGCUGCAGAUUCAACAAAAUAUCAAAACUGGGUAUUUACAGGCUGGACAAAUGAGAAUCUGCUACUUUUUGCAUCCAUUAUACCAUGUGGCCACCAACCCCAUGAGCCUUUUGUCCACUGGCAUAUACUGGCCGAUGCUCUAGUCCAAUAGAAUGACCUCCUUUAUCCCUCCUGUUUCAUUAUAAAAAGCAAGUGGCUGCUGAGCGACUAUAGUAGAUGCCCCAGUGUCAGACUUCCCAGGAUCCAAUUUGGUGGGAGCACUCUGGGCCUUUGGUCUCCCUCUUCCCUUUGCCCAGCCCUGUUUCUUGGUUACUCCGAGCAAUAAUGAGCUUCUCCACCCCAGCAUGAGGACAGGCUCACAGCUAGCACAUGAAAAAGGCUGAGCUCGUGUGGGGCAACUACUCUAUUUCAUGGGCAGAUCACACAUCUGUUUUUUCCCUUCUUCUGCAAUGCAACUACACUAAUGAUUUUUUUUAAAGUAGGAAUAAGGCAGUACUAUGGCUUUCUGAGAAAAAAGUCACACUGCAGGAUAACUGCAACAGACAUCAUAAAAGGAGCUGGAAUGAAAUGCCCACCCACUCUUGUCAUUGGAGCAAAUGAUUUCCAAGAGCAAAAGUAUCAUUUUAACUUAGGGGAUCUAACUAAACAAAUAGAAUCAUUGCCCUAAUUAUUUUCUUCUAGGCAAAUGAAACUUAAAAAUCAGCUCUUCCUGUUAAUGUUAACUAUUUUGCAUAAUCAGCCGAAAGGUUAUAAAAAUAAGAUUAGGCCACCAGAAAUGUGGGAGUUCCCCCAGAGUUCUCUAUGGUAAAUAGUUCAGGGUUGUCAUUGUUGAGGAUGAGCUCUAGAAUCAGCCCAUGAUUCAAGUCCAGAGCUCUGUCCUUCA